rnacentral:rRNA from 1 species
AUUGAACGCUGGCGGCAGGCCUAACACAUGCAAGUCGAGCGAGCGGCGGACGGGUGAGUAAUGUAUGGGGACUGCCCGAUAGAGGGGGAUAACUACUGGAAACGGUGGCUAAUAACGCAUACUAUCGGAUAACCCAUAGUGGAUUAGCUAGUAGGUAAGGUAAUGGCUUACCUAGGCGACGAUCCCUCGCUGGUCUGAGAUGAUGAUCAGCAACACGGGGACUGAGAAACGGCCCAGACUCCUACGGAGGCAGCAGUGGGGAAUAUUGGAAAAUGGGCGCAAGCCUGAUGCAGCCAUGCCGCGGGGAUGAAGAAGGCCCUAGGGUUGUAAAGUACUUUCAGUCGGGAGGCGUUACCGACAGAAGAAGCACCGGCUAACUCCGUGCCAGCAGCCGCGGUAAUAC